rnacentral:tRNA from 1 species
UCCCUGGUGGCUCAAACGGUAAAGCGUCUGCCUACAAUGUAGGAGACCCAGGUUUGAUCCUGGGUCGGGAA